rnacentral:rRNA from 1 species
AUUGAACGCUGGCGGCAGGCCUAAUACAUGCAAGUCGAACGGCAGCACAGCAGAGCUUGCUCUGUGGGUGGCGAGUGGCGGACGGGUGAGGAAUACAUGGGAAUCUGCCCAGUCGUGGGGGAUAGCGUAGGGAAACUUACGCUAAUACCGCAUGCGCCCUUCGGGGGAAAGCCGGGGACCUUCGGGCCUGGCGCGAUUGGAUGAGCCCAUGUCGGAUUAGCUAGUUGGCGGGGUAAAGGCCCACCAAGGCGACGAUCCGUAGCUGGUCUGAGGGGAUGGUCAGCCACACUGGAACUGAGACACGGUCCAGAGUCCUACGGGAGGCAGCAGUAGGGAAUAUUGGACAAUGGGCGCAAGUCUGAUCCAGCCAUGCCGCGUGAGUGAAGAAGGCCUUCGGGUUGUAAAGCUCUUUUGUCCGGAAAGAAAAGCAUCCAGUUAAUACCUGGGUGUCCUGACGGUACCGGAAGAAUAAGCACCGGCUAACUUCGUGCCAGCCGCCGCAGUAACAC